CGCGGCCUAUCAGCUUGUUGGUGAGGUAACGGCUCACCAAGGCAUCGACGGGUAGCUGGUCUGAGAGGACGAUCAGCCACACUGGGACUGAGACACGGCCCAGACUCCUACGGGAGGCAGCAGUAGGGAAUCUUGCGCAAUGGGCGAAAGCCUGACGCAGCAACGCCGCGUGGGGGAUGAAUGCCUUCGGGUUGUAAACCCCUUUCAGCAGGGACGAAAAUGACGGUACCUGCAGAAGAAGCUCCGGCCAACUACGUGCCAGCAGCCGCGGUAAUACGUAGGGAGCGAGCGCUGUCCGGAAUUAUUGGGCGUAAAGAGCUCGUAGGCGGUUCAGUAAGUCGGGUGUGAAAACUCAAGGCUCAACCUUGAGACGCCACUCGAUACUGCUGUGACUUGAGUCCGGUAGAGGAGUGUGGAAUUCCUGGUGUAGCGGUGAAAUGCGCAGAUAUCAGGAGGAACACCAGCGGCGAAGGCGGCACUCUGGGCCGGUACUGACGCUGAGGAGCGAAAGCAUGGGGAGCAAACAGGAUUAGAUACCCUGGUAGUCCAUGCCGUAAACGUUGGGCACUAGGUAUGGGAUCAUAUCAACGGAUUCCGUGCCGUAGCUAACGCAUUAAGUGCCCCGCCUGGGGAGUACGG
rnacentral:rRNA from 1 species